UACGUAGGGUGCAAGCGUUGUCCGGAAUUAUUGGGCGUAAAGAGCUCGUAGGCGGUCUGUCGCGUCGGAUGUGAAAACCCAGGGCUCAACCCUGGGCCUGCACUCGAUACGGGCAGACUAGAAUUCGGUAGGGGAGUCUGGAAUUCCUGGUGUAGCGGUGAAAUGCGCAGAUAUCAGGAGGAACACCGGUGGCGAAGGCGGGACUCUGGGCCGAUAUUGACGCUGAGGAGCGAAAGCGUGGGGAGCGAACAGG
rnacentral:rRNA from 1 species